CUGCUCUGUAUUCUAAGGACACAGGUCUGCACAGGAGAAGGAACACAGAGAAGAUAAGUGUUAUCUGAAGGGGAGGAUGAAAAGGUUUCAGGCUCCAUCACAAUGCGUCCCGUGUCCAGCAAAUAAAUAUAUCAUUGUGGGUGUUAUCAGGACAAUACAUACCGCAGAGGCCCAUACUCCAACUUACACUUCUGUUUGGAAGACUGCCUAGCAUCUGUCUAUAAUGAUAGUGCAAGCUUCCCUGUCAUCACUCAUUCCAGAAUGGUGGAAGACAAAAUACAUCUCCUGAGGCCUAUUGGCCGGAAGUUCCCAGAAUAACUAUGGGAGAAUAUGGACUAACUAUCAGCAGGAAUACAAACCCCAAAUACUCGAUAGAUUGCGACUGCCAAGAGAAAGGACAUACUUUUAGACAUGUUAACCUUGUGGUUGCUAAAAUGCAAAUAUAAUUCCUAAGUACUAAGCAAUACAAGGUCUCUCUGUGGGGAGGAAAUAAAAAGGAGCAAGAAGUCCUGUAUUUUUUGUCAGAUCUGAUACAGACCUAACCUCAGGAUAGGGGACAACUACCUGAUUGCAGGCGGUCUUACUGCUGGGAUCCCCUGCAAAUGAGAACAAGGUUACAAGUCACCAGUUAAAAUGCAACGGAGGGAUGCACAUGUGCGUUAUGCUUCAUUCA